rnacentral:rRNA from 1 species
CCUACGGGAGGCAGCAGUGAGGAAUAUUGGUCAAUGGUCGGGAGACUGAACCAGCCAAGCCGCGUGAGGGAGGAAGGUACAGAGUAUCGUAAACCUCUUUUGUCAGGGAACAAAGGCGGGGACGUGUCCCCGGCUGAGUGUACCUGAAGAAAAAGCAUCGGCUAACUCCGUGCCAGCAGCCGCGGUAAUACGGAGGAUGCGAGCGUGCUCCGGAUUUAUUGGGUUUAAGGGGUGCGCAGGCGGUCUGUUAAGUCAGCGGUCAAAGCCCGGGGCUCAACCCCGGCCCGCCGUUGAAACUGGCAGUCUCGAGUUGGAGAGAAGUAUGCGGAAUGCGCGGUGUAGCGGUGAAAUGCAUAGAUAUCGCGCAGAACUCCGAUUGCGAAGGCAGCAUGCCGGCUCCACACUGACGCUGAGGCACGAAAGCGUGGGUAUCGAACAGGAUUAGAUACCCCUGUAGUC